rnacentral:rRNA from 1 species
UACGUAGGGGGCGAGCGUUGUCCGGAUUUACUGGGCGUAAAGCGCACGCAGGCGGUUUCGUACGUCUGGCGUGACAGUUCCCGGCUCAACUGGGAAAGGUCUUCGGAAACGGCGAGACUUGAGGGCUUCAGAGGGACACGGAAUUCCGGGUGGAGUGGUGAAAUGCGUAGAGAUCCGGAGGAACACCAAUGGCGAAGGCAGUGUCCUGGGAAGCAUCUGACGCUCAGGUGCGAAAGCUAGGGGAGCGAACAGG